rnacentral:piRNA from 1 species
UGGUCACAGCAACUACACUGUUUCAGGAC